rnacentral:rRNA from 1 species
UACGUAGGGUGCAAGCGUUAAUCGGAAUUACUGGGCGUAAAGCGCGCGCAGGCGGUUUUAUAAGUCUGUUGUGAAAUCCCCGGGCUUAACCUGGGAAUGGCGAUGGAGACUGUAAGGCUAGAGUGCGGCAGAGGAGACUGGAAUUCCUGGUGUAGCAGUGAAAUGCGCAGAUAUCAGGAGGAACACCGAUGGCGAAGGCAGGUCUCUGGGCUGACACUGACGCUCAUGCGCGAAAGCGUGGGGAGCAAACAGG